rnacentral:rRNA from 1 species
AAUCAACGCUGGCGGCGUGCCUCAGACAUGCAAGUCGAACGCGAAAUUUCCCUUCGGGGAGAAAGUAGAGUGGCGCACGGGUGAGUAACACGUAGGUAAUUUGCCUUUGGGUGGGGAAUAACUCAGGGAAACUUGAGCUAAUACCGCAUAAUGCAGCGGCUCGACAUCGAGACAGUUGUUAAAGCGGGGGAGUUGGAGCAAUCCGACCUCGCGCCUAAAGAGAAGCCUGCGGCAGAUUAGCUAGUUGGUAAGGUAAUAGGCUUACCAAGGCGACGAUCUGUAACCGGCCUGAGAGGGCGGUCGGUCACACUGACACUGACAUACGGGUCAGACUCCUACGGGAGGCAGCAGUCGGGAA